GCCUGCCUUGGCCUCCCAAAGUGCUGGGAUUACAGAAAUAUUCUUUUAUUAUACAUUUUUCUAAUAUAUAUGUCAUGAUCACUACCAAAUACACAUGAAACUCAAAGAUGGACAGUUUUUUUUAAGCAAGGACAUCUGAAUAGGUGGAAACAUGUUGUUAUGAUGUGGGUGAAUUUUCACACAGAAAAUACAAAUAUGCAGAAGUCAAUGUAUUUUUAGUAAACAAUUUGAAUUUCCAUCCUUACCUACAAACUGCUUGUUGGGCAACAGCUUAAUAUUGCUAUUCUUAAGUAAAUUCAGGCACUUCAGGACAUAAACUUGGUAGAUUUAGAAUUUAAGCUCUGUCAACUUAAGGAAAGCAUAGUUUUAUUCUUCUUUUGCUCUCUAGGAUUAUAUCUAAGUUCUGUGAGGACAUGGCAUCAGUCUGAAGGCGGAUUUUUGUUCUCUGUAAUAUUGUCACACCCCAAGUCAUUAAUCAGAUCACUACUUCUCCAUAUUUUUGUGCUGCUGUUCACUACUAACAUUUGUAGUCCAACCGUGAUCUCUGGCUGCAUCCUUAUCCUGUGCAUCCUUAUCUUCUAAAUCGUACAGUCCUUUUGGUUUUGUUGUGCCCUUUCAGCUCUUGGUUACAGAAAGCCUUGGCUAUUUUCUUUGCCCCAGGCUCGACUAUAUGGGCUUCAUCAAGCUGCUAUGCAAACACAUUUGCAGAUCAGUUCUUGUUAUUCUGUAAGGCCUAAGUGUCCCUGAAUUCUGCUCUAGUUAUGCAGACACUAGCCUGCCAUGACGUCUAUAAGAAAUAGAUUGGCAUAAAUAACAAAGAAUGAUAAUACCAAGUGUCAGUAAAGAUGUGAAAUAACUAGAAUUCUCACACUUUCCUGGUGGGAAUGCAAAAUGACUCAGCCCCAUUGGAAACAGUUUGGCAGUUUCUUAUUAAAAUAACUAUACAUUUAUUAUACAACUCAUCAUUUGCAUAUCUAAGGAUUAUUCCAAGAGAAAUGAAAAGUUAUCUAACGAGGCCACAGACACCGCCCCCCCCCCCACCAGCAGCCAGCACCUGGUGCAGGCCCUGCAGCCGAGCUACGCAGUGGCACCAUGCAGGUCAUCCUGAAGACCCUCCAGCCGCAGAGCUUCAAGAUAGACAUUGACCCGGAGGAGACAGUGAAAGCACUGAAAGAGAAGAUAGAAUCUGAAAAGGCGAAAGAUACCUCUCCGGUAGCAGGUCAAAAAUUAAUUUAUGCAGGCGAAAUCCUCAAUGAUGAUACUGCUCUCAAAGAAUAUAAAAUUGAUGAGAAAAUCUUUGUGGUGGUUAUGGUUAUGGUGACCAAACCCAAAGCAGUGUCAACACCAGCACCAGCUACAACUCAGCAGUCAGCUCCUGCCAGCACUACAGCAGUUACUUCCUCCACAGCAACAACUGUGGCUCAGGCUCCAACCCCUGUCCCUGCUUUGGCUCCCACUUUCACACCCGCAUUUAUCACUCCAGUAUCAGUGACAGUGUCUUCUGAACCUGCACCUGCUAGUGCAACUAAACAAAAGAAACCUGCAGAAAAGCCAGCAGAGACACCAGUGGCUACUAGGCCAACAUCAACUGAUUGUACAUAGGGAGAUUCUUCUUGGUCAAACCUUUUCCAAGAUGCAACGAGUGCACUUGUGACAGGUCAGCCUUAUGAGAAUAUGGUAACUGAGAUCAUGCCAAUGGGCUAUGAAUGAGAGCAAGUAAUUGCAGCCCCGAGAGCCAGUUUCAAGAACCUUGACAGGGCAGUGGAGUAUCUUGUAAUGGGAAUCCCUGGAGAUAAAGUCAGAUUGUGGUUGACCCCCACCAAGCAGCUAGUACUGGGGUUCCUCAAUCUUCAACACUGGCUGCAGUUGCAGCAACUACGACAGCAACGACAACAACAAGUUCUGGAACAUCCCCUUGAAUUUUUAUGGAAUCAGCCUCAGUUUCAACAGAUGAGACAAAUUAUUCAACAGAAUACUUCCCUGCUUCCAGCGUUACUACAGUAGAUAGGUGGAGAGAAUCCUCAAUUACUUCAGCAAAUUAGCCAACACAAGGAGCAUUUUAUUCAGAUGUUAAAUGAACCAGUUUGAGAAGCUGAUGGUCGAGGAGGAGGAGGAGGAGGUGGCAGUGGAGGAAUUGCAGAACCUGGAAAUGGUCCUAUGAACUACAUUCAAGUAACGCCUCAGGAAAAAGAAGCUAUAGAAAGGUAGAAAUUCCUGAAGGACUUGUGAUACAAGCAUAUUUUGCUUGUGAGAAGAGUAAGAAUUUGGCUUCCGAUUUUCUUCUACCACAGAACUUUGAUGAAGAUUGAAAGGGAGUUUUUUAUAUCUCACACUUCACACCAGUGCAUUACACCCAACUUGUUCACUGGAUUGUCUGGGAUGACUUGGGCUCAUAUCUGCAAUACUUGGUAUAAGGUAGUAGACUGUUGGGAGUGGGGAGGGAGGGAUCUAGGAUAUUGGACAGGGAUAAAUACAGUGCAUAUCUGCUUCAAUUAGCAGAUGCCGCAACUCCACACAGUAUGUAAAAUAUUAUACAACCAAAAAUCAGCUUUUGCAGGUCUUUAUUUCUUCUGUAAAACAGUAGGUAACUUUUCCUAGGUUUCACUCUUUUUAGUGUACUAGAUCCGGAAACUUAGUGUAAUGCCCUGCUUUAUAUUUCUUUGACUUAACAUUUCAGAAAGAAUCUUAGCUACCUAGAAUUUACAGUCUCUGUUUCAUGGCAACACUGGAUAAUGACUUUGUGAAAUUUAAAAUAAUUUUGUAGCGACUGUAAAUAGAAAUGCCAAGUUAUUGAUAGUUAAUUGUUGCUGCUUCAAAAAUAAGUAUAAAAUUAAUGUGUAAGGAAGCCCAUUCUUUCAUGUUAAAUACUUGGGGUGAGAGGGGAGAAAGGGAACCUUUUCUGAAAAUGAAAAUAAUUACUGCUAUUUUAAAAUUUCUUCAUCAUUGAAUGUGAGACCCUUCUAACAUGAUGUGAGAAGCUAUACAAGUAUAGGCAGAGUUAUUUUCCUGUUUACAUUUUUUUGUUUGUUUUGGGAAAAAAUCAGUAGGUGUCUAAUUACUGUUUACUUCAUUGUUAUAUUGCAGUAAAAGUUUUAAAACAAAACAAAAGUUAUCUGACAAAGACUUGUUUGGAACUGUUCAGGAAACUUUAUUCAUAAUUACCCCCAAAUUGAAAUAACUUAAAUAUCAACUGAUAAAUGGAUAAACAAACCGUGCUAUAGCUGUGUAAUGUAAUACUACUCAGCAAUAAAAAAGAAUGAAAUGCUGAUGCAAGCAAUAGUAUAGAUGGAAUCUCAAAACAUUAGACUGUGCAAAAGUAGUCAGAUCAAAAAAAGUACAUACCAAAUGAUUCCAUUUAUAUAAAACUAGGAAAAACAAGUCUAAUUUAAAUGGACGGAAAGCAAGCCGUUGACUAUCUGGGGCUGAAGGUGUUGAUGGGGUUGGCGGGGAAAAAGGUAGGGAAACUUUCUGGGGUGAUCAAAAUGUUCUAUUAUCUUCAUUUGACGAUGGUUGCAUGGGUUAAUAAAUUAGCCAAAACUCAUCAAAAUGUACACUUCAAAUGCGUACAUUGGGUGUAUGUUAAUUAUAUAUAAAUAGAGUUGAUUUUAAAAUAAA